rnacentral:rRNA from 1 species
AGAGUUUGAUCAUGGCUCAGAGCGAACGCUGGCGGCAGGCUUAACACAUGCAAGUCGAGCGGGCGUAGCAAUACGUCAGCGGCAGACGGGUGAGUAACGCGUGGGAACGUACCUUUUGGUUCGGAACAACUGAGGGAAACUUCAGCUAAUGCCGGAUAAGCCCUUACGGGGAAAGAUUUAUCGCCGAAAGAUCGGCCCGCGUCUGAUUAGCUAGUUGGUGAGGUAAUGGCUCACCAAGGCGACGAUCAGUAGCUGGUCUGAGAGGAUGAUCAGCCACAUUGGGACUGAGACACGGCCCAAACUCCUACAGGAGGCAGCAGUGGGGAAUAUUGGACAAUGGGCGAAAGCCUGAUCCAGCCAUGCCGCGUGAGUGAUGAAGGCCCUAGGGUUGUAAAGCUCUUUUGUGCGGGAAGAUAAUGACGGUACCGCAAGAAUAAGCCCCGGCUAACUUCGUGCCAGCAGCCGCGGUAAUACGAAGGGGGCUAGCGUUGCUCGGAAUCACUGGGCGUAAAGGGUGCGUAGGCGGGUCUUUAAGUCAGAGGUGAAAUCCUGGAGCUCAACUCCAGAACUGCCUUUGAUACUGAGGAUCUUGAGUUCGGGAGAGGUGAGUGGAACUGCGAGUGUAGAGGUGAAAUUCGUAGAUAUUCGCAAGAACACCAGUGGCGAAGGCGGCUCACUGGCCCGAUACUGACGCUGGGGCACGAAAGCGUGGGGAGCAAACAGGAUUAGAUACCCCGGUAGUCC